GGCAGUGUGGCGUAGUGGUAAUGAGUUGGGCUUGUAAUCGCAAAGGUUGCCAGUUCGAUUCCCCACUGGGGCGCUGCCG